rnacentral:rRNA from 1 species
GACGAACGCUGGCGGCGUGCCUAACACAUGCAAGUCGAGCGGAGUUGGAAGAAGCUGCAGAGAUGUAGCGGGAGCCGACUUAGCGGCGAACGGGUGAGUAACACGUGGGCAAUCUGCCCUCUGGAGCGGGAUAACAGACCGAAAGGCCUGCUAAUACCGCAUGAGGCCUAGGAGUCGCAUGGCAUUUAGGUCAAAGGGGGAAACCCGCCGGAGGAGGAGCCCGCGUCCCAUUAGCUAGUUGGCGGUGUAACUGACCACCAAGGCGAUGAUGGGUAGCCGGCCUGAGAGGGUGAACGGCCACAUUGGGACUGAGACACGGCCCAGACUCCUACGGGGGCAGCAGUGAGGGAUUUUCGGCAAUGGGCGAAAGCCUGACCGAGCGACGCCGCGUGAGCGAAGAAGGCCUUCGGGUCGUAAAGCUCUGUCUAGGGGGACGAGGAGAGGACGGUACCCCGUGGAGGAAGCCGACGGCUAACUACCGUGCCAGCAGCCGCGGUAGAGUCACG